rnacentral:rRNA from 1 species
UACGGAGGGUGCAAACGUUGCUCGGAAUCAUUGGGCGUAAAGCGCACGUAGGCGGCUUCUUAAGUCGGGUGUGAAAGCCCUCGGCUCAACCGAGGAAGUGCAUUCGAAACUGAGGGGCUUGAAUACUGGAGAGGAUGGCGGAAUUCCCGGUGUAGAGGUGAAAUUCGUAGAUAUCGGGAGGAACACCAGCGGCGAAGGCGGCUCACUGGACCGGAACUGACGCUGAGGCGCGAAAGCGUGGGGAGCAAACAGG